rnacentral:rRNA from 1 species
ACUCCUACGGGAGGCAGCAGUGGGGAAUUGUUCGCAAUGGGCGCAAGCCUGACGACGCAACGCCGCGUGGAGGAUGAAGACUUUCGGGUCGUAAACUCCUGUCGAGCGGGACGAAUGAUCUGCGACCUAAUACGUCGUAGAAGUGACGGUACCGCUAGAGGAAGCCCCGGCUAACUCCGUGCCAGCAGCCGCGGUAAUACGGGGGGGGCUAGCGUUGUUCGGAAUUACUGGGCGUAAAGGGCUCGUAGGUGGCCAACUAAGUCAGACGUGAAAUCCCUCGGCUUAACCGGGGAACUGCGUCUGAUACUGGAUGGCUUGAAUCCGGGAGAGGGAUGCGGAAUUCCAGGUGUAGCGGUGAAAUGCGUAGAGAUC